rnacentral:rRNA from 1 species
AUCUGCCCUUAGGUACGGAAUAACAGUGAGAAAUUACUGCUAAUACCGUAUGAUGUCUUCGGACCAAAGAUUUAUCGCCUAAGGAUGAGCCCGCGUUGGAUUAGCUAGUUGGUGGGGUAAAGGCCUACCAAGGCGACGAUCCAUAGCUGGUCUGAGAGGAUGAUCAGCCACACUGGGACUGAGACACGGCCCAGACUCCUACGGGAGGCAGCAGUGGGGAAUAUUGGACAAUGGGGGAAACCCUGAUCC